GAUGAACGCUGGCGGCGUGCCUAAUACAUGCAAGUCGAGCGAACGGACGAGAAGCUUGCUUCUCUGAUGUUAGCGGCGGACGGGUGAGUAACACGUGGAUAACCUACCUAUAAGUCUGGGAUAACUUCGGGAAACCGGAGCUAAUACCGGAUAAUAUUUUGAACCGCAUGGUUCAAUAGUGAAAGACGGUCUUGCUGUCACUUCUAGAUGGUUCCGCGCUGCAUUAGCUAGUUGGUAAGGUAACGGCUUACCAAGGCAACGAUGCAUAGCCGACCUGAGAGGGUGAUCGGCCACACUGGAACUGAGACACGGUCCAGACUCCUACGGGAGGCAGCAGUAGGGAAUCUUCCGCAAUGGGCGAAAGCCUGACGGAGCAACGCCGCGUGAGUGAUGAAGGUCUUCGGAUCGUAAAACUCUGUUAUUAGGGAAGAACAUAUGUGUAAGUAACUGUGCACAUCUUGACGGUACCUAAUCAGAAAGCCACGGCUAACUACGUG
rnacentral:rRNA from 1 species